rnacentral:tRNA from 1 species
UUAAUAGCUUAUAUAGAGCUUGAUAUUGAAGAUAUCAGGGAAGUAAAUUUACUUUAAAAUAUUUAC